CCUACGGGUGGCAGCAGUGGGGAAUAUUGCACAAUGGGCGCAAGCCUGAUGCAGCCAUGCCGCGUGUGUGAAGAAGGCCUUCGGGUUGUAAAGCACUUUCAGCGGGGAGGAAGGCGGUGAGGUUAAUAACCUCAUCGAUUGACGUUACCCGCAGAAGAAGCACCGGCUAACUCCGUGCCAGCAGCCGCGGUAAUACGGAGGGUGCAAGCGUUAAUCGGAAUUACUGGGGGUAAAGCGCACGCAGGCGGUCUGUCAAGUCGGAUGUGAAAUCCCCGGGCUCAACCUGGGAACUGCAUUCGAAACUGGCAGGCUAGAGUCUUGUAGAGGGGGGUAGAAUUCCAGGUGUAGCGGUGAAAUGCGUAGAGAUCUGGAGGAAUACCGGUGGCGAAGGCGGCCCCCUGGACAAAGACUGACGCUCAGGUGCGAAAGCGUGGGGAGCAAACAGGAUUAGAUACCCGUGUAGUC
rnacentral:rRNA from 1 species